UCUACUACAAAAACAGUAAACAAGUCUGUAGCUUUUAUCAGCUGUGUCUCAUGCCAUUUUAUGUUUAAGAUAACAUUAUGCAGGAAAAUGAAAGGUCUAACUUUUGUUCCCAACAGCUACCAACAACAGUGGUGACCACCUGCACCCUACCCCCAACUACACAUCACCUGACCAGAUCCUGGUGUAUUUUGUGAGUGAGGAGUUCGGCAGUAUCCCUGGUAUCCAGGGUCUGUUUGUUUCCUGUCUAUUCAGUGGGACACUCAGUGUUGCAGCCUCUGGGUUCAAUGCCCUAGCGACCGUGACCCUUGUGGACAUCAUUCGACCAAUCAGGAACCGGAG